rnacentral:rRNA from 1 species
AGCAGCCGCGGUAAUUCCAGCUCCAAUAGCGUAUAUUAAAGUUGUUGCAGUUAAAAAGCUCGUAGUUGAAUUUCGGGACUAAUAUGUCGGUCGUGCCUCGGUACGAACUGGUUUUAUUGGUUUCUCCUUUCUGAAGAACCAUGAUGUCAUUUAUUUGGUGUCGUGGGGAAUCAGGACUGUUACUUUGAAAAAAUUAGAGUGUUUAAAGCAGGCUCACGCUUGAAUACAUUAGCAUGGAAUAAUGAAAUAGGACGUUCGAACCUAUUUUGUUGGUUUCUAGGAUCAACGUAAUGAUUAAUAGGGAUAGUUGGGGGCAUUAGUAUUCAAUUGUCAGAGGUGAAAUUCUUGGAUUUAUUGAAGACUAACUACUGCGAAAGCAUUUGCCAAGGAUGUUUUCAUUAAUCAAGAACGAAAGUUAGGGGAUCGAAGACGAUCAGAUACCGUCGUAGUCUUAACCAUAAACUAUGCCGACUAGGGAUCGGAUGAUGUUAAUUUUUUAAUGACUCAUUCGGCGCCUUAC